CCUUUGACGUUAGCGGCGGACGGGUGAGUAACACGUGGGUAACCUACCUAUAAUACUGGGAUAACUUCGGGAAACCGGAGCUAAUACCGGAUAAUAUUUCUAACCGCAUGGUUCGAUAGUGAAAGAUGGUUUUGCUAUCACUUAUAGAUGGACCCGCGCCGUAUUAGCUAGUUGGUAAGGUAACGGCUUACCAAGGCGACGAUACGUAGCCGACCUGAGAGGGUGAUCGGCCACACUGGAACUGAGACACGGUCCAGACUCCUACGGGAGGCAGCAGGA
rnacentral:rRNA from 1 species